rnacentral:rRNA from 1 species
CCCUUAGAUGUUCUGGGCUGCACGCGUGCUACACUGAUUAUUUCAACAAGUGUUUUAACUGGAGAGUUUGCGUAAUCCUGAAAUGCUAUCGUGAUGGGAGUAGAGUAUUGUAUUUGUUAAUCUUUAACGAGGAAUUCCUAGUAAGUGUAGGUUUAUAAGUUGUUCUGAUUACGUCCCUGCCCUUUGUACACACCGCCCGUCGCUCCUACCGAUUGGGUGUGCUGGUGAAAUGUUCGGAUCGGCCGUUUGUCGCGGUUUCCGCGUCAUGUGGCUGAGAAGUUCAUUAAACCCUCCCACCUAGAGGAAGGAGAAGUCGUAACA